rnacentral:rRNA from 1 species
CCUACGGGUGGCAGCAGUGGGGGAUAUUGCACAAUGGGGGGAACCCUGAUGCAGCGACGCCGCGUGAGUGAAGAAGUAUUUCUGUAUGUAAAGCUCUAUCAGCAGGGAAGAAAAUGACAGUACCUGACUAAGAAGCCCCGGCUAACUACGUGCCAGCAGCCGCGGUAAUACGGAGGGGGCAAGCGUUAUCCGGAUUUACUGGGUGUAAAGGGGGCGUAGACGGAUAUGUAAGUCUGUAGUGAAAGCCCGGGGCCCAACCCCGGGACUGAUUUGGAAACUGGGUAGCUGGAGUGCAGGUGGGGCAGGCGGAAUGCCUGGUGUAGCGGUGAAAUGCGUAGAUAUCAGGAGGAACACCGGCGGCGAAGGCGGCCUGCUGGACUGAAACUGACGUUGAGGCUCGAAAGCGUGGGGAGCAAACAGGAUUAGAUACCCGAGUAGUC